rnacentral:rRNA from 1 species
AUUGAAUGCUGGCGGCAGGCCUAACACAUGCAAGUCGAACGAACCCUUCGGGGUUAGUGGCGGACGGGUGAGUAACACGUGGGAACGUGCCUUUAGGCUCGGAAUAACUCAGGGAAACUUGUGCUAAUACCGAAUGUGCCCUUCGGGGGAAAGAUUUAUCGCCUUUAGAGCGGCCCGCGUCUGAUUAGCUAGUUGGUGAGGUAAUGGCUCACCAAGGCUACGAUCAGUAGCUGGUCUGAGAGGAUGACCAGCCACAUUGGGACUGAGACACGGCCCAAACUCCUACGGGAGGCAGCAGUGGGGAAUCUUGCGCAAUGGGCGAAAGCCUGACGCAGCCAUGCCGCGUGGAUGAUGAAGGUCUUAGGAUUGUAAAAUCCUUUCACCGGUGAAGAUAAUGACUGUAGCCGGAGAAGAAGCCCCGGCUAACUUCGUGCCAGCCGCCGCCGUAACAC